AUUCUAUCUGGAUGUGCAGACUUGAAAGAAAAGGCAUCUGAGAAAUUCUUAACUUGCUCAAGUUCUUGAAAUGUAUUCCCUGCUCUGGGCAGCCUGGAAAUAGAGGUGUUCAGCCACUGAGAUGCCCACCAGAAGAACAUCAUCUUAAGUCACUGCAGAUGAGGAACAGAAAGGCCUGUUAUCUAAUAAAUUAUUGCAUCAAGCCCACCAUAUCUAAACUUUCAGAAGAGCGUGGUAAAAAACAACAUCUUCUAAACAUGGUAAGUUGCUAAUCUCAGUUGCCUCAAAUGCUUCUCUUUCCAUAAAUAAGCCAAAUCUCUCAUUUCAGCAAGACU